rnacentral:rRNA from 1 species
UAACGUUACCAAAACUGUUGCCUCGGCGGGAUCUUCUGCCCCGGGUGCGUCGCAGCCCCGGACCAAGGCGCCCGCCGGAGGAAUCAACCAAAACUCUUAUUGUAUACCCCCUCGCGGGUUUUUUUUAUAAUCUGAGCCUUCUCGGCGCCUCUCGUAGGCGUUUCGAAAAUGAAUCAAAACUUUCAACAACGGAUCUCUUGGUUCUGGCAUCGAUGAAGAACGCAGCGAAAUGCGAUAAGUAAUGUGAAUUGCAGAAUUCAGUGAAUCAUCGAAUCUUUGAACGCACAUUGCGCCCGCCAGUAUUCUGGCGGGCAUGCCUGUCCGAGCGUCAUUUCAACCCUCGAACCCCUCCGGGGGGUCGGCGUUGGGGAUCGGCCUUCCUUCACGGGGGCCGUCUCCGAAAUACAGUGGCGGUCUCGCCGCAGCCUCUCCUGCGCAGUAGUUUGCACACUCGCAUCGGGAGCGCGGCGCGUCCACAGCCGUUAAACACCCAACUUUCUGAAAUGUUGACCUCGGAUCAGGUAGGAAUACCCGCUGAACUU